AUUGAACGCUGGCGGCAGGCCUAACACAUGCAAGUCGAGCGGAGCGGCGGACGGGUGAGUAAUGGCUGGGAAACUGCCUGAUGGAGGUGGAUAACUGCUGGGAACGGUAACUAAUAACGCAUACCAUCAGAUCUGCCCAGGUGGGACUAGCUAGUAGGUGGGGUACCGGCCUACCAAGGCGACGCUCCCUAACUGGUCUGAGAGGAUGAUCAGUCACACUGGAACUGAGACACGGUCCAGACUCCUACGGGAGGCAGCAGUGGGGAAUAUUGGACAAUGGGCGAUAGCCUGAUCCAGCCAUGCCGCGUGUGUGAAGAAGGUCUUCGGAUUGUAAAGCACUUUAAGUUGGGAGGCGUUACCAACAGAAUAAGCACCGGCUAACUUCGUGCCAGCAGCCGCGGUAAUUC
rnacentral:rRNA from 1 species